GGGAGUAUGGUCGCAAGGCUGAAACUCAAAUGAAUUGACNGGGGGCUCACACAAGCGGUGGAGGAUGUGGCUUAAUUCGAGGAUACGCGAAGAACCUUAUCCUGGUCUUGACAUGCUUAGGAACGUCUGUGAAAGCAGAAAGUGCCCUUCGGGGAGCCUUUGCACAGGUGCUGCAUGGCUGUCGUCAGCUCGUGUCGUGAGAUGUCGGGUUAAGUCCCUUAACGAGCGAAACCCUUGUCUUUAGUUGCCAGCGAGUAAUGUCGGGGACUCUAGAGAGACUGCCGGUGUUAAACCGGAGGAAGGUGGGGAUGACGUCAAGUCCUCAUGGCCUUUAUGACCAGGGCUGCACACGUCCUACAAUGCGGCAUACAAAGAGACGCGAACUCGUGAGAGUAAGCAAAUCCCAGAAAGUGUCGCUAAGUUCGGAUUGCAGGCUGCAACUCGCCUGCAUGAAGCCGGAAUCGCUAGUAAUCGUGGGUCAGCAUACCACGGUGAAUAUAUUCCUGAGCCUUGUACACACCGCUCGUCAAGCCACGAAAGUGGGGUGCGCCCGAAGCCGCCAAGCUAACUUCGGAGGCAAGCGUCGAAGGUGAACUCCGCGAUUGGGACU
rnacentral:rRNA from 1 species